rnacentral:lncRNA from 1 species
GGUGGUUGAGAGACAGAACAGUUUGACUUGAGCACUAACUUUCUCAUUCUUAGCAAGUUUCAUAUCAGAGGUUUUGUGAUAUUUUCAAAAGAAAGCUUAAAUGUUCCUCUUAUGGUUCUCUCAUGUCACUCAAAUGGUGUAUGAUUCCUCACCAAGGCAUAUGGUAAGAGUUGCCUUCUCUAUUUCAUCCUAUUUCUAAAAGGCUUAUGUGGAGUUCAAGGUAGGGAUGAAAGGAGAUAGCAUACUUACUUUGCAUGUAUUGCGAAGUCAAAGCUCGGAUCCUUGAAGAGAAGUGUCAUACUCCCAGAUCAAGAUGUGCAAGUGUGAUAUAUGGUGGACUAGGUUGCUCCUUUAUUUGAUAGACUCUCUAUGUAUUGAGACAUGGCUAGCAUUUUUUUCUUCUUUUUUUUAUAUAUAUAUAUGAGCUUUCAUGUGCUCAAUUUUCUUUUUCUGUGGACUUGCACAUGUCCAUCUUUUUAUUUCAUUUUGCCUAGCCUUUUGAUGUCUCAUUUACCAAAUAAUGCUUAGAGAGAUGUUCUAACAUUUAGAGUAUGGAGCAACCUAUUUAGUGGAUGCGAAAUACAUGUGGUUGCGUACUUCCAGUGUAGAAGCAGCAUAUAUAUAUGUGGUGUGUACGUGAUCUUGAUCUUAGGAGCAUGAAAAGUCUCUUAACAAGGGUCAACAAGACUUGACGACACUCAACACAAAGCAAAUAGCUUAUGUGGAAAGGUUGCAAUUAUGUAAAGUAGAUAUGGCUGUGGUAGGAAUUCAUCACCAUUGAGGAACAAUUAAGG